UGGGGCAUGACAGAAUGAGGUCCUCCAUGUUCCUGAGAAAAUAUUUCAAAAGCCCAUGCUAGUUUGUGUUCUGGGGCUUCAGAGCAAGUAAUCAAAUGCUGAUUUAGAGCUUUCUGAAUCUUUGUCACUUGAAUCACAGUUCCUAAGACCUGAAAUAAAGCCGUUUGGAUGGAUUCACUGUGAUAGGAAGCAGAGCACAGAUGGAGGGAGCCUUGGUAUCUGAGCCUUGGAAGAAGUUCACCUGCAGAGUUGUCCAACCAGCA